CCAAUAGCGUAUAUUAAAGUUGUUGCAGUUAAAAAGCUCGUAGUUGAAUUUUAGGCCUGGCCGGAUGGUCCGUCUUUGGCGAGUACUGUUCUGUCGUCGGGUCUAUCCUUCUGGUGAGCCGGGAUGCCCUUUAUUGGGUGUGUCGGGGAACCAGGACCAUUACCUUGAAAAAAUUAGAGUGUUUAAAGCGGGCAUUUGCUUGAAUAGAUUAGCAUGGAAUAAUAGAAUAGGACGUUGGCUCUAUUUUGUUGGUUUUAGGACCACCGUAAUGAUUAAUAGGGAUAGUUGGGGGCAUUAGUAUUCAAUUGUCAGAGGUGAAAUUCUUGGAUUUAUUGAAGACUAACUAUUGCGAAAGCAUUUGCCAAGGAUGUUUUCAUUAAUCAAGAACGAAAGUUAGGGGAUCGAAGACGAUCAGAUACCGUCGUAGUCUUAACCAUAAACUAUGCCGACUAGGAAUCGGGCGACGUUAUUUCAUGACUCGCUCGGCGCCUUAUG
rnacentral:rRNA from 1 species